GACGAACGCUGGCGGCGUGCCUAAUACAUGCAAGUAGAACGCUUAAGCAGUAGCUUGCUUCUCUGGCUGAGUUGCGAACGGGUGAGGAACGCGUAGGUAACCUGCCCGGUAGCUGGGGAUAACUUUUGGUAACGAAAGCUAAUACAUCAUAACAUUGACUAUUGCAUUAUAGUCAGUUGAAAGGCGCAACUGGACCAAUACCAUAUGCAGCUGCGUUGUAUUAGCUAGUUGGUGGGGUAACGGCUCACCAAGGCGAGGAUACAUAGCCGGCCUGAGAAGGUGAUCGGCCACACUGGGAAUGAGGCAAGGCCCAGAAGUCUACGGGAAGGAGCAGGAGGGAAACUUUGGAAAUGGGCGGAAGUCUGAACGAGGAACGCCGCGUGAGGGAAAAAAGUAUUCGGGUCGGAAAGCUCUGUUGUAAGAGAAGAACGAGCGUGAGAGUGAAAAGCUCACACUGUGACGGUAUCUAACCGGAAAGGGACGGCUAACUACGUG
rnacentral:rRNA from 1 species